rnacentral:rRNA from 1 species
AUUGAACGCUGGCGGCAUGCUUUACACAUGCAAGUCGAACGGCAGCGCGGGGUACGGUGUGGCGGCGAGGCGCGAAGGGGUGUAAAAUACCUCGGAGUGCGCCCUGUCGUGGGGGAAAGCGUGGCAAUAGCCGGUAAAAUCCCCCAUACGACCUGUUGGCGCACGUGGGGGAGCCUGGGUUCUCGCGCUUGUUUGGUCGGCUAUGGGCGUAUAGCUAGUUGGGGGGAUAAAGGCCUACCAAGGCGACGAGCUGAAGCUGGUACGAGAGGACGACCAGCCACACGGGGACUGAGACACGGCCCAGACUCCUACGGGAGGCAGCAGCGGGGAAUUUUGGACAAUGGGGGAAAGCCUGAUCCAGCAAUGCCGCGUGUAGGAUGAAGGCCUUCGGGUUGUAAAGCGCUUUUGGCCGGAGCGAAAAGGAGUUGGUUAAUACCAGGGGAUAAUGACGGUACCGGGAGAAUAAGCACCGGCUAACUACGUG